rnacentral:rRNA from 1 species
CCUACCCUAUGGACGGGGAUAACCUCGGGAAACUGAGAAUAAUACCCGAUAGAACAUUAUACCUGGAAUGGUUUAUGUUUCAAAUAAUUUAUUGCCGUAGGAUGGGACUGCGGCCUAUCAGUUUGUUGGUGAGGUAAUGGCCCACCAAGACUAUCACAGGUACGGGCUCUGAGAGGAGUAGCCCGGAGAUGGGUACUGAGACACGGACCCAGGCCCUAUGGGGCGCAGCAGGCGAGAAAACUUUGCAAUGUGCGAAAGCACGACAAGGUUAAUCCGAGUGGUUUCUGCUAAAGGAACCUUUUGUUAGUCAUAGAACCACUAAUGAAUAAGGGGUGGGCAAGUUCUGGUGUGCAAGUUCUGGUGU